UCAUGGGCACAUCACAGGCUGUUAAUAAGCGUCUCUUCUGAUCUCAAGCUAAGCAGGCUCUGGCUUGGUUAGUACUUGGAUGGGAGGCCACAAACGUUUUAAAGCCUCCUCUUAAA
rnacentral:rRNA from 1 species